UCCCCUAGAGUGUGAUAGUGCUGGUCCUCAUACGAGGUGUGAAUAGUGUCGGUCCCCAUAAGGUGUGAAUAGUGCUGGUCCCCAUAGAGGUGUGAAUAGUGCUGGUCCCCAUAGAGGUGUGAAUAGUGCUGGUCCCCAUAGAGGUGUGAAUAGUGCUGGUCCCCAUAGAGGUGUGAAUAGUGCUGGUCCCCAUAGAGGUUGAACAGUGCUGGUCCCAUGAGGGUGAAAGCGCUCCUCGAGGUGCAUAACGGUCCCCAUAGAG
rnacentral:lncRNA from 1 species